GACAGAGGGUGCAAACGUUGUUCGGAGUUACUGGGCGUAAAGCGCGUGUAGGCGGCUCGGAAAGUCGGAUGUGAAAGCCCAGGGCUCAACCCUGGAAGUGCACUCGAAACUCCCGAGCUCGAGUCCCGGAGAGGAAGGCGGAAUUCUCGGUGUAGAGGUGAAAUUCGUAGAUAUCGAGAGGAACACCUGUGGCGAAGGCGGCCUUCUGGACGGUGACUGACGCUGAGACGCGAAAGCGUGGGGAGCAAACAGG
rnacentral:rRNA from 1 species